rnacentral:lncRNA from 1 species
GAUUUUUAAAAAAAUAUUAGAUAGAACACAAAUGUCAUUUAAAUACAUCUCAAUUCAAUCUUAAUUUAAUUCUAGUUAAAAUCCUAUUCAACUUCAUUCAAACUUAAGACCAAAACUAAUUAAAUCUUAAAUCCUAAUAAAAUCCUAAAUCCUAAAUCAAAUCCCAACCAAGUCCUAAACCAAAUCAUAACCAAACCCUAAAUCAAAUCCUAAACCCUAAAUCAAACCCUAAUCAAAUCCUAAUCCAAAUCCUAAACCCUAAACCAAAUCCUAAUCCAAAUCUUAAACUCUAAAUCAAAUCCUAACCAAUCCCUAAACCAAACCCUAAUCCAAAUCCUAAAUCCUAAAUCAAACCCUAAUCAAAUCCUAAACCCUAAAUCAAAUCCUAAUCCAAACCCUAAUCAAAUCUUAAACCAAAUCCUAACCAAAUCCUAACCAAAUCCUAACCAAAUCCUAAACCAAAUCCUAACCAAA